UACGAAGGGUGCAAACGUUGCUCGGAAUUAUUGGGCGUAAAGCGCACGUAGGCGGCAUUGCAAGUCGGAUGUGAAAUCUUAUGGCUUAGCCAUAAAAGUGCAUCCGAAACUGCAGUGCUUGAGUACUUAAGAGGAUCGCGGAAUUCCCGGUGUAGAGGUGAAAUUCGUAGAUAUCGGGAGGAACACCAGUGGCGAAGGCGGCGAUCUGGGAAGAUACUGACGCUGAGGUGCGAAAGCGUGGGGAGCAAACAGG
rnacentral:rRNA from 1 species